GAUGAACGCUGGCGGCGUGCCUAAUACAUGCAAGUCGAACGCUGAAGCUUGGUGCUUGCACCGAGCGGAUGAGUUGCGAACGGGUGAGUAACGCGUAGGUAACCUGCCUCUUAGCGGGGGAUAACUAUUGGAAACGAUAGCUAAUACCGCAUAAAAGUCGAUAUCGCAUGAUAUUGAUUUGAAAGGUGCAAAUGCAUCACUAAGAGAUGGACCUGCGUUGUAUUAGCUAGUUGGUGAGGUAACGGCUCACCAAGGCGACGAUACAUAGCCGACCUGAGAGGGGGAUCGGCCACACUGGGACUGAGACACGGCCCAGACUCCUACGGGAGGCAGCAGUAGGGAGUCUUCGGCAAUGGGGGCAACCCUGACCGAGCAACGCCGCGGGAGUGAAGAAGGUUUUCGGAUCGUAAAGCUCUGUUGUAAGAGAAGAACGAGUGUGAGAGUGGAAAGUUCACACUGUGACGGUAACUGACCAGAAAGGGACGGCUAACUACGUG
rnacentral:rRNA from 1 species